CAGCCGCCGCGGGAAUACGAAGGGGGCUAGCGUUGUUCGGAAUCACUGGGCGUAAAGGGUGCGUAGGCGGAUUCUUAAGUCAGGGGUGAUAUCCCGAGGCUCAACCUCGGAACUGCCUUUGAUACUGGGGAUCUUGAGUCCGGAAGAGGUGAGUGGAACUGCGAGUGUAGAGGUGAAAUUCGUAGAUAUUCGCAAGAACACCGGUGGCGAAGGCGGCUCACUGGUCCGGAACUGACGCUGAGGCACGACAGCGUGGGGAGCAAACAGGAUUAGAUACCCCGGUAGUCCCUGUCUCUUAUAA
rnacentral:rRNA from 1 species